CUCAAGCAUUAUACAAUGAAAUAAAGAUCAUCCCAAUAUGCAAACUUGAUUGUUCGGUGUCUGAAACAAAUCUGGAAAAACACAUUGAAGAGGAAAUGACUCGAUUUCCUGAUAGUCUGUCAGUAACAUGGCCUAAAGGAAAUGAAUUACUUUCAGGUGACGUUAAGUGUGCAGGAUUUACAAUAGGAGAUCUACAAAUUGAAAUACUGAAUAAAAAAGGCAAGCCUAUCCAAACCCUUCCAGGAUCAAAGAAAUUACUUGUACAACUU